rnacentral:rRNA from 1 species
GACGAACCGUGCGAACGUUGUUCGGAAUCACUGGGCUUAAAGGGCGCGUAGGCGGUCUCCCAAGUCCGGGGUGAAAUCUUUCGGCCUAACCGGAAAAGGGCCUUGGAUACUGGGGGACUCGAGGGGGGUAGGGCAAGCGGAACUUCCGGUGGAGCGGUGAAAUGCGUUGAUAUCGGAAGGAACGCCGGUGGCGAAAGCGCGAUCACUGGACCUCUCCUGACGCUGAGGCGCGAAAGCCAGGGGAGCAA